AUAAAUAUGAAUAUAUAAAUUUAAGAAAUGUCUUGAUAACUCAAACUGAAUUUUAUUAAUGAUAAUCAAAUUCUUUUAUAUUAAUAAUACAUGGUCUUAAUUAACUAGCAAUAAGAAAAACCAUAAUGUUUCCUCGAAUUAAUAAAUAUUAUUGUUAUUGAAAAUUAAUUAUUUGGGACAUUUAGCUAGACAAAUUUCUUUCUUAGGAUAACAUAAAUCUGCAUAAUCAGUGCAACACCACUGGGGCACAGCUCCUACAUAUUUAAAAUUUAUGAUGCAUCUAUCGUCUGCAGCUUUUGUUCGUAUACUUUCAUCACCUGCAUUUUUUCGUAAAAAAAACAUAUCAAUUAAUUUAUUAAUUGCUAUACAUUGGUAGAGUAAAAAUACAAUUUCUAUACUAUUAAAUAUCUAGAAAAUAACAACAUAGAGCCAUUCCUAAAAAAUAAAUUAAUAACCUAAAAAAUAGUAGGUUUACUUAUUUCAACAAUUUAAAUACAACAAUAAUGUAUAAAAAAAAAAUCACUUCAAUCACUAAAAAAAAUUUUUAAAAAAAAUCAAUAGAAUUUUCACUCAAAAUUUUCUCAUCAUUGAAAACAAUUUCGGUGGAUUUUUCAUCAGAAAUUUCAAAUUUUUAUUGGAAACAUUUGUAAAAAAGUUUCAUUUUUAGUGAUGAAUCCAAAUAUAUAUCAAUAUAUAAGUUUGUUCAUUGAAAAAUGAAAAAAAAUUGUUUUGUUCUAUUAUCUCGGUACUUCAAGUAAUAAUUAAUUCAAAUAAUAAAAAUAAAAUUACUAAGUAUAAAAGGAAUAAAUAUGGACAUACAGUGAUGAAGAGCCAACGAAGAAAGCAAAACCAAACAAAGCAGCAAAACUGAUUGAAGGGAGAAUUUUAUGACGGCCAUUGAAGAAUAUAUUAUUUAGUGUUUAAAAGUUUAAAGACAAUGAAAAUUACUUAUGAAAUUCUCCUAAAUAUAUAGCCCCAUGAAAAUAUUUAAUUUUAGUAACUAAUACAAAAUAGAGAAAAAUAAUGAUUAAAAGACCAUAUUAUUUUCUUUCCUAGAAUAAAUCCUUUUGACUACAAAAAUUUUAGUCAUAGUGUCUCUGAUUUCAUAAUAAAGUCUGUUCGCAUUAUAAACUAAUUAAUUUCUUGGAAAUUUUUACCCUCUCCUUUCAUAUUUAUUUAAAAUUGUCG
rnacentral:lncRNA from 1 species